UACGGAGGGGGCUAGCGUUGUUCGGAAUUACUGGGCGUAAAGCGCACGUAGGCGGCUUUGCAAGUUAGAGGUGAAAGCCCGGGGCUCAACUCCGGAAUUGCCUUUAAAACUGCAUCGCUAGAAUUGUGGAGAGGUAAGUGGAAUUCCGAUUGUAGAGGUGAAAUUCGUAGAUAUUCGGAAGAACACCAGUGGCGAAGGCGACUUACUGGACACAUAUUGACGCUGAGGUGCGAAAGCGUGGGGAGCAAACAGG
rnacentral:rRNA from 1 species